UACGUAGGGCGCAAGCGUUGUCCGGAAUUAUUGGGCGUAAAGAGCUCGUAGGCGGCUUGUCACGUCGGAUGUGAAAGCCCGAGGCUUAACCUCGGGUCUGCAUUCGAUACGGGCUAGCUAGAGUGUGGUAGGGGAGAUCGGAAUUCCUGGUGUAGCGGUGAAAUGCGCAGAUAUCAAGAGGAACACCUGCGGCGAAGGCGGGUUGCUGGGCCGACACUGACGCUGAAGCGCGAAAGCUAGGGGAGCGAACGGG
rnacentral:rRNA from 1 species